rnacentral:lncRNA from 1 species
CAGGUGUCUUAUGACGCGCAUCCACGUGACUUAGCUGUUGUUUUAUUUUUCUUGUAUGACGAAUACCUAUUGCCCGGUUGUAAAAUUAUCGCAAUUUUACGUAAAAAAUUACGCUAAAGGAUUGAUUGUAAACAUCGUUUGACGUGUUUCUACAAACGGUAAUGGAACUUUUGGCCAUUUCGUCUACGGAUUUGCGUCCACGCCACAUGGCAUUGUAAAGUGUUCUGGAUGGGUCAACAAAAUGGAUGUAUUUGGAAAUAAAUGAUGGGCUUUGCAGAACAAAUGAAAAUUUCUUGUGGAAGUGGGUGCCCAUCCGAGUGCAUUCCGCCGAAGAUCAGCAAAGCAUUCAUCUUCUCCUUCUCAAACUUGGCGAACUCUCUCCUGUCGUGGAUGAUCAUCAGCAGCUUCCAGAUGAGAAGCAAAGCCAGGCCGAUCAGCACGAUGCCCGCCACCACGCCAGCCCACAGUUGGGAUGAUCGCAGGGCAGUCUGGAACACAGGCAGGAAACACACAGUCAGGAACAUUCAGUUAUACCAACUUGUGUUUAUUUAUUUAACCAGGCAAGUCAGUUACUGUAAGAGCAAAUGCUGAUUUACAAUAAAGUCCUUCCUGAUUUGCAUUAUAUAUAGGCCCAGGAACUUUACCUGACCAUGUAAGCUGACUAGGAAAAACUACAAGUAGUGCCUAGAAUUCUUCCUAGUCAGGUCAAAAACUCCUAGCUCUAAUCACAAAAGGACUCAUUAGACAAACAAAUAACUUCCCUUUUCACUGUAAUAUCCUCAGUCACAAUGAUAUAGUAGGCUGUAUGUAAUAUGCUCUCACCUAGUGUUUCCACCACAUGGACCUCCUUCUCUGUCUUGUUGUUGACAGCGUAGGUGUAGUAGAACCAGCAGUCGUUGGCAUCCCUCUCCUUACAGUGCAUCAGGGGGAAAGCCUGUCCUGGCUGAGGCAGCUUGCCCCUGUCCUUCACCUUGAUCAGGUUGAAGUAGCUACAGUCUCUCUCACACGUGUCCUUCUUCUCCCCCGUCCCAAAGGCCCUGCACUGAACACACUCCCUGUGGAAGACAGGACAUUGACAUGUAACUCUGUACAGAUGGAGUAACACACGCAGGUAGUCUCGCAUUUGGAUGCUUGCUAGACUUGUGACAUAUUCACUAGUAGGACUGUGGCAGUCACAAAAUGUAUCGUCAAGCAAAUAACUGUCGGUCUCAUGGUAAUUGAUGCUAAUUAAAACACAUUUAUCAUCUCCUGGCUUCCACACUUACAAACCACUGAUGCAGACCUUUGGAACAUCUACAUUUUAAAAAGUCUAAUAAAUCCAUGUAAUAUAGCCUACACCUUCACAAUAAAUCCAUUAUUUAUUUUAGACAGGUUUAAAGAAACAUGAUAUGAAGAAAAUAUAGUCUAUUUCAGAAGAACAGAAUAGCAUACUCUUAGUUGUCCUUAUGUUAGGUCCUGAUCUGGCUAUGAUAAAUGGCUAUAUGGGCUACAAAGAUUUGCUUAGAAUUCCGUGGCAUUAUUUUAUAUUAUUUCAUAGUAUGAAGAAUAUAAUUGAACAAAGCUGAAUAAAAUAGAAAGGAUAUUUUCUCCAAAUGAUUUUAGGGAGUGCGUAUUCUGUGUUGAGUGAUUAACAAAGAAUGAGGUAUUCCUAUAUGCUUCAUUUAGAGUUAUUAACGUAACUUUAGUUGUACAAACGUUGGGCUAUAUGCUUUAAUAUGUAAUACUUUGUAAGGAUGCGUGAUGUGACUAAUGAUGAUUUGAAAAAAGUUGCUUGAAAGGCAUGAGCUCUGCUUAGUGUUUUUGCACAGGCUGUACACACUUUAUCAGUCUCUCAUUCACAAUUUGACAAGCACUUGACAAGGCCUCAAGUGCUGCGUUGUACCGUUCUAUCUGGGUGCUGCGCGCUCCGAAGCACCUCUCACUCCCAUGGUUCUCCAUCACGUGAUCGGGUCUUUCUCACAGGUUCCACACACACAGUCUCCGUUGUUGCUGCAGAUGUCUGUACCGUUGUCUUUACGGCAGCUCUUAUCCAGGUCUUCGCUGGUCACCUCGUUGGUGCUGCACUCACACUGUCUACCAAUACGGCCCUCAUUGCACCUGACAGAUAGUAAAGGAAAUGUAAUGUUAUUAACAACAACAAGGGAGGACUGCAUAAAAGACUGCCUAUGUAAAAAUAUUC